rnacentral:rRNA from 1 species
AGGAUCAUUAUUGAAUGAACUUGGUGUGGUUGUUGCUGGCCCUCUCGGGGGCAUGUGCACACCCACCAUCCUCAUCUCUCCACCUGUGCACCUCUUGUAGACCUGGAUUGACUUUCCGAGGCAACUCGGUCGGGAAGAUUGCUGCGCUCUGUGAGCCAGCUUUCUUUGCAUGUCCAGGCCUAUGUUUUUCAUAUACCCCUAUAGAAUGUAACAGAAUGUAUCAUUGGGCCUUGUGCCUAUAAACCUUAUACAACUUUCAGCAACGGAUCUCUUGGCUCUCGCAUCGAUGAAGAACGCAGCGAAAUGCGAUAAGUAAUGUGAAUUGCAGAAUUCAGUGAAUCAUCGAAUCUUUGAACGCACCUUGCGCUCCUUGGUAUUCCGAGGAGCAUGCCUGUUUGAGUGUCAUUAAAUUCUCAACCUUAUUAACUUUUGUUGAUAAUGGAUUGGAUUGUGGGGGUUUCUUUUGCUGGCUUCUUCACAGAGAUCAGCUCCCCUUAAAUGCAUUAGCUGGUGCCCCGCGUGGACCAUCUAUUGGUGUGAUAAUUAUCUACGCCGUGGAUGUCUGCAAUCAUAUGGGUUUCGCACUGCUUCUAACCGUCUGUUCAUUCGGACAAUACAUGACAAUUUGACCUCAAAUCAGGUAGGACUACCCGCUGAACUUAA